rnacentral:rRNA from 1 species
UGGGGAAUUUUCCGCAAUGGGCGAAAGCCUGACGGAGCAAGACCGCGUGAGGGAAGAAGGUCUGUGGAUUGUAAACCUCUUUUGAUAGGGAAGAAGUUCUGACGGUACCUAUCGAAUCAGCCUCGGCUAACUCCGUGCCAGCAGCCGCGGUAAUACGGAGGAGGCAAGCGUUAUCCGGAAUUAUUGGGCGUAAAGCGUCCGUAGGUGGAUGUUCAAGUCUUCUGUCAAAGCGCGGAGCUUAACUCCGUAAAGGCAGAGGAAACUGAGCGUCUAGAGUGCGAUAGGGGCAAGGGGAAUUCCCAGUGUAGCGGUGAAAUGCGUAGAUAUUGGGAAGAACACCGGUGGCGAAAGCGCCUUGCUGGGUCUGCACUGACACUGAGGGACGAAAGCUAGGGGAGCGAAAGGGAUUAGAUACCCCUGUAGUCCUAGCUGUAAACGAUGGGUACUAGGCGUUGUCCGUAUCGACCCGGGCAGUGCCGUAGCUAACGCGUUAAGUACCCCGCCU